CGCGUAGGCGGCCUUCUAAGUCGAGCGUGAAAUCCCCGGGCUCAACCCGGGAGCUGCGUCCGAUACUGGAGGGCUUGAAUCCGGGAGAGGGAUGCGGAAUUCCAGGUGUAGCGGUGAAAUGCGUAGAUAUCUGGAGGAACACCGGUGGCGAAGGCGGCAUCCUGGACCGGCAUUGACGCUGAGGCGCGAAAGCCAGGGGAGCAAACG
rnacentral:rRNA from 1 species